GAUGAACGCUGGCGGCGUGCCUAAUACAUGCAAGUCGAGCGGAAGGACGAGAAGCUUGCUUCUCUGACGUUAGCGGCGGACGGGUGAGUAACACGUGGAUAACCUCCCUAUAAGACUGGGGUCACUUCGGGAAACCGGUGCUAAUAACGGCUACUACUCUGAACCGCAUGGUUCGAAAGUGAAAGGCGGUCUUGCUGUCACUUCUAGAUGGAUCCGCGCUGCAUUAGCUAGUUGGUCAGGUAACGGCUUACCAAGGCAACGAUGCAUAGCCGACCUGAGAGGGUGAUAGGCGACAUUAGAACUUGAACGGGCUCCAGGGUCCUGAGAGAGGGCGCAGUAGGGAAUGUUACGCAAUGGGCGAAAGCCUGACGGAGCAACGGCACGUGAGUGAUGAAGGUCUUCGGAUCGGAAAACUGGGUUAUUAGUGAAAAACAUCUGUGGAAGGAACUGUGCAGAUCUUGACGGUACCUAAUCAGAAAGCCACGGCUAACUACGUG
rnacentral:rRNA from 1 species